rnacentral:rRNA from 1 species
CGUAUCACCCAAGACAACUUUACGGAGUUGACGAUUGACGGAGCGAAGCGACGUCAAAGCGUUCAUUAAAGUCGAGUUGGCUUAGGGAUACGUUCGUUGGGUAGGGGAGCGUUCUGUAAGCCUGUGAAGGUGGCCUGUGAGGGUUGCUGGAGGUAUCAGAAGUGCGAAUGCUGACAUAAGUAACGAUAAUGCGGGUGAAAAACCCGCACGCCGGAAGACCAAGGGUUCCUGUCCAACGUUAAUCGGGGCAGGGUGAGUCGACCCCUAAGGCGAGGCCGAAAGGCGUAGUCGAUGGGAAACAGGUUAAUAUUCCUGUACUUGGUGUUACUGCGAAGGGGGGACGGAGAAGGCUAUGUUAGCCGGGCGACGGUUGUCCCGGUUUAAGCAUGUAGGCGGAGGUUCCAGGUAAAUCCGGUACCUUAUUAACGCUGAGGUGUGAUGACGAGGCACUACGGUGCUGAAG